rnacentral:rRNA from 1 species
UGCGGUGGUCAUAGCCUGGUGAGACGCCCGGUCCCAUUCCGAACCCGGUAGCUAAGGCCAGGCGCGGCGAUGGUACUGCACUCGAGAGGGUGUGGGAGAGUAGCACGCCGCCGCUU